rnacentral:rRNA from 1 species
GUGGGGAAUCUUGCGCAAUGGGCGAAAGCCUGACGCAGCCAUGCCGCGUGAAUGAUGAAGGUCUUAGGAUUGUAAAAUUCUUUCACCGGGGACGAUAAUGACGGUACCCGGAGAAGAAGCCCCGGCUAACUUCGUGCCAGCAGCCGCGGUAAUACGAAGGGGGCUAGCGUUGCUCGGAAUUACUGGGCGUAACGGGCGCGUAGGCGGACAGUUUAGUCAGAGGUGAAAGCCCAGGGCUCGACCUUGGAAUUGCCUUUGAUACUGGCUGUCUUGAGUACGGGAGAGGUGAUUGGAACUCCGAGUGUAGAGGUUAAAGUCGUAGAUAUUCGGAAGAACACCAGUGGCGAAGGCGACUCACUGGCCCGUUACUGACGCUGAGGCGCGAAAGCGUGGGGAGCAAACAGGAUUAGAAACCCCAGUAGUCC